ensembl:lncRNA USP2-AS1 USP2 antisense RNA 1
CAAGUCCUUCCUUCUCUUCUAUUUCCCAGAGAAAUCAGACGCAAUCAAGAGGGGAAUUCUUAAAUUUCUACCUACAAACAUGUCUGAAUCCAUUCUUAUCAGGAGCAGUGAAAGAGGCACCCCUGUUCUUGUCCAAGGGCACCACUGAGUUCAGUACUUCAAAAUUGCCGUGCUCUACCUCUCCCCAGUGCACAAAAACACUCUCCACACCAAGCUGCUGCUGCUGGGGGAUGGAGGGAUGGCGUCAGCGAUUCAAGACUGUUUUUCCUACCUGUUCAGCACUUCUUUCAGCGAUAUGAAGUUAAAUCCAGAUGUCGUCAUCAUCCACUUGUUCAAACAAGAGCCCAAGGAUCAUCCUAGAUUCCUUCUCACUUCCUCUCAAUCCAUCCCUGAAACAGCCAAACCACCAGUGGAGUUUCGCUCUUGUUGUCCAGGCUGGAGUGCAGUGGCAUGGUCUCAGCUCACUGCAACCAAAGCUCCCGGGUUCAAGUGAUUCUCCUGCCUCAGCCUCCUGAGUAGCUGGGAUUACAGGCAUGUGCCACCACACCCAGCUAAUUUUUGUAUUUUUAGUAGAGAUGGGGUUUACCAUGUUGGCCAGGCUGGUCUCAAACACCUGACUUCAAGUGAUCCACCUGCCUUGACCUCUCAAAGUGCUGGGAUUACAGGUGUGAACCACCAUGCCCAGCCUCUGUUGACUUUCAACUAUGGAAAAUGUGGUUUUAGCUUUCUUAUAUGCCCAUUUUCUCCUUCACCAAAUACAUACACUUAACCUUUUCCCAUCCUCCAAUAUAUCGUCAUCAUAAUUUUUGGUUAAAAUCCCUAUUUAGUGUUACCUUAGUCCAUUCAUACUGCUAUGACAAAAUACCACAGACUGGGCAGCUUAUAAACAACAGAAAUUUAUUUCUCAGAGUUCUAGAGGCUGGGAAGUCUAAGCUCUAGGUGCUGCAGACUUAGUACCUGUUGAGGGCCCACUUUCUGAUUUAUAGACAGCGUCUUCUUGCUGUGGCCUCAUGUAGUGGAAGGAGUAUGGGAUCUCUGUGGGGCCUCUUUUAUAAGGAGACUAAUCUCAUUCAUUAGGGGUUCACCCUGAUGACCUAAUCACCUCCCAAAGAGCCCACCUCCAAAUAUCAUCACCUUGGGGUUUAGGAUUUCAAAAGAUGAAUUUUGAAUUUUGAGUGACACAAACAUUCAGACCAAAGGGAAUGUUUAUAUCAGUAUGACUACGUAAAUAUUAUUCACAGUAAAUCCAUCUAACCUGUUAUGAGCAUUCUUUUCUCCUCCCUCUGGAGUUAAAUAUUUGCCAUCUUUUUUUUUUUUUGGGUUGUGUUGAAAAUUUAAAAUAUUUAAAAAUAUUUAAAGUAAAUUAUAGGUUUACAAGAAAUUGCAUAAAUAGUACAGAGAGGUCUUGUCUGUACCCUUGGGGUGCAGAGGUUAGAGGUCUCAUGUACCCUUCACCCAGUUUCCCCCAAUGGCAACAUUUUGUAUAAUUGGAGUACAGUAUCAAAACUGGAAAUUGAUAUUGGUAAAAUCCACAGACCUUAUUUAGAUUUCCCCAGUCCUCUCUGUUUUAACUCUAAACGUAUCUUGAAGUCACCGCUUCUGUCUAUCUUAACCACUACAACUUUUGUCAAAGUUGCUGUCAUCUAUUUUAGGACCAUGGCAAUGUCCUCCUGAUUUCUUGUUCUACUGUCAUUCUCCUUUAUGUUUCUACAGAGCAGCAAGAGGGAUCUUAUAAAAAUAUGACCAGAUCACAUCCUUCAACACUUCCCUGUUACCCUUACAAUAAAAUUCAAA